CUCCGACUCCUCGCAUGGGGUGUCGGGAAAGAUUUCAUCGGUAUGGGAUGGGGUCGCGUCCUAUCAGGUAGUCGGCGGGGUAACGGCCCACCGAGCCUACGACGGGUAGCCGGCCUGAGAGGGCGACCGGCCACAUUGGGACUGAGAUACGGCCCAGACUCCUACGGGAGGCAGCAGUGGGGAAUAUUGCACAAUGGGCGCAAGCCUGAUGCAGCGACGCCGCGUGCGGGAUGACGGCCUUCGGGUUGUAAACCGCUUUUGAUCGGGAGCAAGCCUUCGGGUGAGUGUACCUUUCGAAUAAGCACCGGCUAACUACGUGCCAGCAGCCGCGGUAAUACGUAGGGCGCAAGCGUUAUCCGGAAUUAUUGGGCGUAAAGGGCUCGUAGGCGGUUCGUCGCGUCCGGUGUGAAAGUCCAUCGCUUAACGGUGGAUCUGCGCCGGGUACGGGCGGG
rnacentral:rRNA from 1 species